rnacentral:rRNA from 1 species
UACAGAGACUGCAAGCGUUAUUCGGAUUCACUGGGCGUAAAGGGUGCGCAGGCGGCCGAGUGUGUGAGGCGUGAAAGCCCGGGGCUUAACCCCGGAAUUGCACCUCAAACUACAUGGCUAGAGCAUUGGAGAGGGUAGCAGAAUUCAUGGUGUAGCAGUGAAAUGCGUAGAUAUCAUGAGGAAUACCAGAGGCGAAGGCGGCUACCUGGACAAUUGCUGACGCUCAGGCACGAAAGCGUGGGGAGCAAAAGGG